GGCUCAGGACGAACGCUGGCGGCGUGCUUAACACAUGCAAGUCGAACGAUGAAGCCCUUCGGGGUGGAUUAGUGGCGAACGGGUGAGUAACACGUGGGCAAUCUGCCCUGCACUCUGGGACAAGCCCUGGAAACGGGGUCUAAUACCGGAUACUGAUCGCCUUGGGCAUCCUUGGUGAUCGAAAGCUCCGGCGGUGCAGGAUGAGCCCGCGGCCUAUCAGCUUGUUGGUGAGGUAAUGGCUCACCAAGGCGACGACGGGUAGCCGGCCUGAGAGGGCGACCGGCCACACUGGGACUGAGACACGGCCCAGACUCCUACGGGAGGCAGCAGUGGGGAAUAUUGCACAAUGGGCGAAAGCCUGAUGCAGCGACGCCGCGUGAGGGAUGACGGCCUUCGGGUUGUAAACCUCUUUCAGCAGGGAAGAAGCGA
rnacentral:rRNA from 1 species